CGCCUGGGGAGUGCGGCCGCAAGGUUAAAACUCAAAUGAAUUGACGGGGGCCCGCACAAGCGGUGGAGCAUGUGGUUUAAUUCGACGCAACGCGAAGAACCUUACCUGGCCUUGACAUGCAGAGAACUUUCCAGAGAUGGAUUGGUGCCUUCGGGAACUCUGACACAGGUGCUGCAUGGCCGUCGUCAGCUCGUGUCGUGAGAUGUUGGGUUAAGUCCCGUAACGAGCGCAACCCCUAUCCCUAGUUGCUAGCAGUUCGGCUGAGAACUCUAGGGAGACUGCCGGUGACAAACCGGAGGAAGGUGGGGAUGACGUCAGGUCAUCAUGGCCCUUACGGCCAGGGCUACACACGUGCUACAAUGGCGCGCACAGAGGGCUGCAAACCGCGAGGGGAGCAAUCUCACAAACGCGUC
rnacentral:rRNA from 1 species